AUAUUAUGAGCAGAGGUGACCCUGAGGAUUGAAUGUGUAAAUCAAUAUCGGGCAAUCGGCUUUUUAAUCUGGACUGGUGCUCCACUCCAUGUUUUCCCAGAUCCGGCCAAAUAUCCUAAGCGGUUUAGGGCAUGGGUAACUAUUGUUGGUGGAAAAUUGGAAACACGUCAUGAUUAUGAAGAUUAUAGAAAGAGGAAACUUUGUGACAUUCAUUUUACAAAUAAAGACCGAAAUCUGAAGCUGUGGGCAACUAUUAGUACCUGUAGAAUAUAUAUUUUUAAGUAUCUAUGUUUUAAUAACUAUUCUGAAAGGAGUAAUAAUUUUAACAUUAAAUAAUGUCAUUAUUGAUAAGAAUAUUCUUUCAUUUCAGUCAAUGCAACCUGUUAUGAGGCUGAAGCUGCCAUGGUGGAGCAUGAUUACUGUAUCACAUAUGAUGAAC